GGUUCACCCGGCUGGGCGCCGCCAUUAGGCGGUGGGAGCGCGGCUCCAUGGCGCUGCCGGCGGAGGAAUGGCGGCGCUGCGCCGCGCGGUGCCGGGCCGCGCUGGGACCGGCGCUGAGGGAACGGCUGGAGGCGGCGCCGCCGGGCGAGGCGCUGCGGUUGGGCUGCGGCCUCCUCAGGCCCGGAGCGGAGGAGGCGGCGGCCCUGCAGCGGCUGUGCCGCCGGGCGCGCACCAGCAAGGAACCGGCGGCCGCUCGCUGGUACCGGGAGGAGGGGAACCGGCGGUUCGGCCGCUGCUGCUACGGUGAUGCCGCGCUGCUCUACUCGCAGGCAGCGUCCCACGAGCUCCCCGGCAGCCCCGAGGCGUCCCUGUGCUUUGCCAACCGCUCGGCUGCUCUCUUUCACCUCGGCCACUUUGAGGUUUGUUUGGAAGAUAUUGCCAGGGCUCAAAGUCAUGGCUAUCCAGACAGACUGCUGCCCAAGGUCUUGCUGCGGAAAGCUGAAUGCCUGCUGCGUUUGGGGAGGGUACCGGAUGCAGCAGAUGCCCUUGCUGCAGUGGAAAAUAAAAUUGCUGUGGAUGGGAUUAUGAGUAGUCCUGCACGCCAGACGCUGCUGAAAAAGUUAAAUCAACUGAAGCUUAAAGUAUGUGAGAGAGAGAGCUGUCCAGAGGCUGCACGAGAAACAUGUGGUGAUGCUCAAAGAGAGACAGAGAUCUGGGAAGAGAAUGACAGUAUUUCAGGUGCGUCUUCAUCUUUGAGCUUGAAGUUCAAUACAGAGAAAGGACGUCACUUGGUGGCCUCACGGGACAUCCUGCCAGGACAGAACCUGUUGAAAGAGGAGGCCUUUGUAAGCGUGCUCUGCCCAGAAGAAGGGGAGAGCCGCCUGCUACAGGACAGCAGUGAAAUGGUGUGGGAUACUCAAUUCACUAAUGCAGAGCUUUAUUGCCACCGUUGUCUGAAGCAGCUUUUAGCCUCUGUGCCUUGCCGUGGGUGCAGUUAUGCAAAGUACUGCAGCCAAAACUGUGCAGAUACGGCAUGGGAGCAAUACCACAGGACAGAGUGCUCCUUGGGAGCGCUGCUUCUCACGUUAGGGGUCUUCUGCCAUGUUGCUUUAAGGACUGUUCUACUGGCAGGAUUUUCAGAGGUUAGCAGGCUGGUGGAGCAGUCCCAUGAUGAUGAUGAAGAUCUUCAUAGCACCAAGGCAAGAUGUAAACAUCCCCGUGAUGCACCAGAUACGAGAACUGGAACCAGAGGUAUCCCUGGUUGUAAUGAUAAUGGCCAGUACCAGAGUUCUUACCGAGCUGUGUUCAACCUCUUGCCACAUGCUGAGAAGCAUAGCCCUGAACAUAAGUUCCUUUGCAUGCUGAGUGUAGUAGCUAUAUGCAGGAAACUGCAAGAAGCCGGUCUGGAGGCUGCUGUUCUGAAUCAGGAAUCGUCUGAGAAGGGGUCCGGACCUAAAGCAUGUGAAAAAACAUCUGAUGAGCUGUCUCCAGAGCUGCAGAUUAUGGCAGAAGCAAUGCUGAGGCAUGUGUUGCAGCUGCAAUGUAAUGCACAAGCGAUCACUGUAAUGCAAGAGUUGGGGUCUGGAGAUGGUGCUGUUGUAAAUAAGAAACCCGUGCGCCUGGCAACAGCCUUCUUCCCUGUCCUCAGCCUUCUGAACCAUUCGUGCAGCCCCAAUAUCAGUGUGUCAUUUAGUGGGACAGCUGCCACUGUCAGGGCAUCACAGCCAAUCUCAAGCGGCCAGGAGAUUUUCCAUUGCUAUGGGCCUCACCGAUGUAGAAUGAAGGUUGCUGAGAGACAACAGCUUCUCAGUCAGUAUUUCUUUGAGUGCCGCUGUCAGGCGUGCCUUGAGGAGUUAGAGUCUGGCAACAAGAGUGUGGUGUCCAUGAGGAACUCAUUUUGCUGUCCUAGCUGCCAGGCUUCAAUGCAGGGGGAAGAUGUGCUUUGUUGUUCAAAUGAAGCUUGUGCGCGCUCAGUCAGCAGAGAGAGCCUGUCACGGCAUUUACGAGACCUUCAGCGACAAAUCAAGAAAGCAUUAGAACUGCUAAGAGACAGCAGGGCUGAUGAGGCUAUCAAAAUGCUCCUGAAGUGUCAGAUGGAUGCUAGAAACUUCUUGUCACCGGAGCAUUUGCUGAUGGGAGAGAUGGAGGAUCAUCUGGCACAGGUCUAUGCUACUCUUGGAAAGUGGCAGGAAGCAGCCAGACACCUGGAGAGAAGUAUUCAGAUUGUAGAAACGCAUCACGGGCCAUCAAGUGUAGAAAUGGGUCAUGAACUUUUCAAACUGGCACAAAUUCUCUUCAAUGGAUUUGCAGUUUCUGAAGCUCUGAGCACAAUUCAAAGAGCAGAGAAGAUUCUGACAGUGCACUGUGGUCCUCAGAGUACUCAGAUCCGGGAACUACAAGAGAUGAAGACCUGUCUGUUAGAGCUUCCCAGAAGCAUCCUUCAGAGGACUUAAUUUCCCUAUCAAAGGAAGCUGCAAUGUGAUCUUUCAUCAAAGCUAAGUUUUGUGUGGUCAAGAUUCAGCUUCCCAGGAGCAAUAAUUCCUCCCUUGAGGACUACUUCUGUUUAGGGCUCCUACGAAACAGCACCCACGAGCUCAGACCUCUCUGUGAUUGCUCCACCCCACAGCACCACUUCUGAGGCAUCCUGCGACCACCAGACCUAGAGGAGUUGACUAUCGCCAAAAUUGUUACCGUUGCAAAGAAAAAGCCUCUUCCCAGCUGCAACACAGGUACUAGAAGGGCAGAAAAGGGGAAAAGUUUCCCCCAGUCCCUGAGCACGCGUCUGCCCCGGUGGCAAAGAGGUGCCCUGGGAUGCUGCUGGCUGCCAACCCUCGCUGAGAUUGCUCACCUACCUGGCGGGCGUCGCGCCUUUUCACACCUGCAGCAGAACCGUUUUCUUCCCCCAUUCCCCAGCUCCCCAAGAGCUCCCCAGCAUCAUCCCUGCACCCUUUACACCCCUGGCACUCCCUGGCCGCUGGCUGCCGACACGGGGCAGCGCAAGCAGCCCGAGCUGCCCCUUACCUCGGGCUCUUCUCGGCCGCCGCUGCCGCAGCUUCCCAGCGGGUGCGAGCCGGGGCCAGUGUGGGCUCAACGCAGCCACAUCUGCUUUUUGCUGCCUCCCCAGCCCAGCCUUCGGCAGGCUUCAGGUUACAGCUUCCCAGGGCGCUCUUAAAGUGCUCUGCUCCCAUUUUCUCUUGCUGCGAUCCUCUGGCUGAGCUGUGCGCGCUUGUGAACCUUCGCCUCCAAAGCAAAUGUGCGUUCUGCGAUAAGGGCAGUCCAGCGGCUAAAACAGGACCGAGCCAAACGCUCAGCCUUGUUCUUCCCUGCCGUGUUUGAGCAAGCCUUUUAUCCCCUCAGUUCUGCCCCAUGUCACAUGAGAGACUUUCUCCCAUCUCGGCGGUACCGUUAUUACAGCAGUGGAGAGGAGGUACCGUUACUGCAGCAGCGUUUGAAGAUUUAAUGGAGAGGCUGCUAAAGUGGGAGCAGGAUCCAGCUGCCGUUUAAAGCAGUUAAGGGGAAGGUACUCGGGAGUGGUUCUGUCCAGUGAUAGUUACUAGUUUACAAGUUAUUAACAUAAGUGGCUGGAAGUUUUUUGGCC